rnacentral:tRNA from 1 species
UGUAAGAUAAGCUAAGACUAAGCUAUUGGGCUCAUGCCCCAAAUAUAAACAUAAACGUUUUCUUACAA